UUCGCCCUUANAGUCCGAUGCUGGUACAGGAUGAACGCUGGCGGCAUGCCUAACACAUGCAAGUCGAACGAAGCUGCUCGGAAACCGAUUUCGGUCUAUUGAAGAGUAGACUUAGUGGCGAACGGGUGAGUAAUGCAUGAGCAACCUGCCCUUCAGUGGGGGAUAACAGCCGGAAACGACUGCUAAUACCGCAUAACAUUUUCGAGGGGCAUCUCUUGAAAAUCAAAGAUUUAUUGCUGAAGGAUGGGCUCAUGUCUGAUUAGUUAGUUGGUGAGGUAAUGGCUCACCAAGACCGCGAUCAGUANCCGGUCUGAGAGGAUGAACGGCCACAUUGGGACUGAGAUACGGCCCAGACUCCUACGGGAGGCAGCAGUGGGGAAUAUUGGGCAAUGGGCGAAAGCCUGACCCAGCAAUGCCGCGUGAAGGAAGAAGGCCUUCGGGUUGUAAACUUCUUUUAUCAGGGACGAAGAAAGUGACGGUACCUGAUGAAUAAGCUCCGGCUAACUACGUGCCAGCAGCCGCGGUAAUACGUACGGAGCAAGCGUUAUCCGGAUUUACUGGGUGUAAAGGGCGCGUAGGCGGGAUGGCAAGUCAGAUGUGAAAUCCUCAGGGCUCAACCCUGAAACUGCAUUUGAAACUGUCGCUCUUGAGUACUGGAGAGGUUGACGGAAUUCCUAGUGUAGCGGUGAAAUGCGUAGAUAUUAGGGAGGGAACACCAGUGGGCGAAGGCGGUCAACUGGACAGCAACUGACGCUGAGGCGCGAAAGCGUGGGGAGCAAACAGGAUUAGAUACCCUGGUAGUCCACGCUGUAAACGAUGAAUACUAGGUGUGGGGGGACUGACCCCCUCCGUGCCGCAGUUAACACAAUAAGUAUUCCACCUGGGGAGUACGGCCGCAAGGCUGAAACUCAAAGGAAUUGACGGGGGCCCGCACAAGCAGUGGAUUAUGUGGUUUAAUUCGAAGCAACGCGAAGAACCUUACCAGGGUUUGACAUCCCGGUGACCGUCUUAGAGAUAAGAUUCUCCCUUCGGGGACACCGGUGACAGGUGGUGCAUGGUUGUCGUCAGCUCGUGUCGUGAGAUGUUGGGUUAAGUCCCGCAACGAGCGCAACCCUUAUUGUUAGUUGCUACGCAAGAGCACUCUAGCGAGACUGCCGUUGACAAAACGGAGGAAGGUGGGGACGACGUCAAAUCAUCAUGCCCCUUAUAUCCUGGGCUACACACGUAAUACAAUGGCACUUAACAAAGGGAGGCAAAACCGCGAGGUGGAGCAAAUCCCCAAAAAGUGUCCCAGUUCGGACUGCAGUCUGCAACUCGACUGCACGAAGUCGGAAUUGCUAGUAAUCACGGAUCAGCAUGCCGCGGGAAAAUUCCCCGGGGCUUGACACACCGCCCGUCA
rnacentral:rRNA from 1 species